GUGAGUCAUCGAAUCUUUGAACGCACCUUGCGCUCUUUGGUAUUCCGAAGAGCAUGCCUGUUUGAGUGUCAUUAAAUUCUCAACCUCAUCACUUUUGUGUAUGAAGGCUUGGAUGUGGAGGUUUCUGCAGGCCGAAAGGUCUGCUCCUCUCAAAUGAAUUAGUGGGUGCCCCGCGCAAACCUAUCUAUUGGUGUGAUAAUUAUCUACGCCGUGGUCUAGGAUUGCUGUAAAAAGGUGUUUGCCCUGCUUCUAACCGUCCAUUGACUUGGACAACUUGAACCAUUUGACCUCAAAUCAGGU
rnacentral:misc_RNA from 1 species